UACGGAGGGUGCAAGCGUUGCUCGGAAUUAUUGGGCGUAAAGGGUAGGUAGGUGGUCUCAUUUGUCUGGGGUGAAAGCCUUGAGCUUAACUCAAGAAGUGCCCCAGAAACGGUGAGACUAGAGUCCUGGAGAGGGUCGUGGAAUUCCCGGUGUAGCGGUGAAAUGCGUAGAGAUCGGGAGGAACACCAGAGGCGAAGGCGGCGACCUGGACAGGAACUGACACUCAACUACGAAAGCGUGGGGAGCAAAC
rnacentral:rRNA from 1 species